rnacentral:rRNA from 1 species
UGGGGAAUAUUGGACAAUGGGGGAAACCCUGAUCCAGCGACGCCGCGUGUGUGAAGAAGGCCUGCGGGUUGUAAAGCACUUUCGGUGGGAACGAAAUAUGCCGGGCCAAUACCCCGGUAGGCUGACGUUACCCAAUGAAGAAGCACCGGCUAACUCUGUGCCAGCAGCCGCGGUAAUACAGAGGGUGCGAGCGUUAAUCGGAAUUACUGGGCGUAAAGCGCACGUAGGCGGCUUCGUAAGUCGGGUGUGAAAUCCCCGGGCUCAACCUGGGAACUGCAUUCGAGACUGCGAUGCUUGAGUAUGGGAGAGGACAGCGGAAUUCCGGGUGUAGCGGUGAAAUGCGUAGAUAUCCGGAGGAACAUCAGUGGCGAAGGCGGCUGUCUGGCCCAAUACUGACGCU